CAGUCGCCGCGGUAAUACGAAGGGGGCUAGCGUUGUUCGGAAUUACUGGGCGUAAAGGGCGCGUAGGCGGCCAUUCAAGUUAGAUGUGAAAGCCCUGGGCUCAACCUAGGAAUUGCAUUUGAUACUGUUUGGCUUGAGUUCGGGAGAGGUGAGUGGAAUUCCCAGUGUAGAGGUGAAGUCCGUAGAUAUUGGGAAGAACACCAGUGGCGAAGGCGGCUCACUGGACCGACACUGACGCUGAGGCGCGAAAGCGUGGGGAGCAAACAGGAUUAGAUACCCCAGUAGUCCCUGUCUCUUAUAC
rnacentral:rRNA from 1 species